GACGUAGGAGGCGAGCGUUAUCCGGAUUUACUGGGCGUAAAGCGCACGCAGGCGGCUUCGUUAGUCGGAUGUGAAAGCUCCUGGCUUAACUGGGAGAGGCCAUUCGAUACUGCGGGGCUUGAGGUUGGAAGAGGGGUGUGGAAUUCCCGGUGUAGUGGUGGAAUGCGUAGAUAUCGGGAGGAACACCUGUGGCGAAGGCGGCACCCUGGUCCACACCUGACGCUGAGGUGCGAAAGCGUGGGGAGCAAACAGG
rnacentral:rRNA from 1 species